rnacentral:misc_RNA from 1 species
GGAAAUACUUUCACAAGAGGCUCAGACUCAAGAAUUGAUUGAAAAUAUGAGAGCAGUAGCUAAAUGUGGAAAUGGGAUCUCAUCAUCUGCUGCGUUUUCAGAUCAGUGGAGUCUCACUAGCAGUAGGAAUUGUUCCUCUAAAAAAGAUGGACUAUUAGACAUUUAGUGGAAUUAAAAAAUUUUAACAUUUCUCUGUCACUUUCUUUCUUUGUUAUGAUUAUAUUAAUUUCUAGGUAUGUUAAUUAUUAAUACUAGAUACAAUAUUGACACAAGAUUUAUCAACUUUAUGUUAUGUAGUCAUGAUCUGCUAUCUAUGAGUUUAAUUAUCUGUUUUUCUUUUUCUUCUUUUGAUGAAGUUCCAUUUCUAUGAUCUCAAAA